rnacentral:rRNA from 1 species
CUCCGGUUGAUCCUGCCGAACCCGACUGCUAUCGGAUUGAGAUUUAGCCAUGCGAGUCGAACGUCCCCCUGUUGCGGGGGGCGUGGCGUACGGCUCAGUAACACGUAGUCAACCUGCCCUGGAGACAAGGACAACCCCGGGAAACUGGGAUUAAUCCUUGAUAGGUCAUCUCAUCUGGAAGGAGAGAUGGCUUAAAGGGGUACGCGGGCUUCUUCCGCGAAUCUGCUCCAGGAUGGGACUGCGUCCGAUCAGGCUGUUGGCGGGGUAAUGGCCCACCAAACCUGUAACCGGUACGGGCCUUGAGAGAGGUGGCCCGGAGAUGGACACUGAGAGAAGGGUCCAGGUCCUACGGGGCGCAGCAGGCGCGAAACCUUCGCAAUGCGCGAAAGCGUGACGAGGUUAAUCCGAGUGACUCCCGCUGAGGGGGUCUUUUGUCAGCUGUAAAUAGGCAGGCGAAUAAGGGGAGGGCAAGCCUGGUGUCAGCCGCCGCGGUAAUACCAGCUCCUCGAGUGGUCGGGGCGAUUAUUGGGCCUAAAGCAUCCGUAGCCGGUUCCGUAGGUCCUCUGUUAAAUCCAACCGCUUAACGGUUGACCUGCAGAGGAUACCGCGGGACUAGGAGGCGGGAGAGGCGGACGGUACUCCGCGUGUAGGGGUAAAAUCCUUUGAUCCGCGGAAGACCACCAGUGGCGAAGGCGGUCCGCCAGAACGCGCUCGACGGUGAGGGAUGAAAGCUGGGGGAGCGAACCGGAUUAGAUACCCGGGUAGUCCCAGCCGUAAACGAUGCUAGCUAGAUGAUUCAUUCGCAAGUCGCGAAUGAAGUGUCGCAGGGAAGCCGUUAAGCUAGCCGCCUGGGGAGUACGGUCGCAAGACUGAAACUUAAAGGAAUUGGCGGGGGAGCA